CUCGCGGGCAGCAGCUGGGGGUCGCCCUACGCUGGCGGCGCGUCCGGAGAGCAACUCACCAACGGCGACGCCAAGGUCGCUCACCACCAACCGCAGCAGGGCAAGAGCAACGGCUCCAGCGACCGGCAGCAGCAACAGCAGCAGCAGAAGGUCUUCACGUCGCUUGUCGGAGUUGUCCCCCC